rnacentral:rRNA from 1 species
AACAGGAUUAGAUACCCUGGUAGUCCACGCCGUAAACGAUGUCGACUUGGAGGUUGUGCCCUUGAGGCGUGGCUUCCGGAGCUAACGCGUUAAGUCGACCGCCUGGGGAGUACGGCCGCAAGGUUAAAACUCAAAUGAAUUGACGGGGGCCCGCACAAGCGGUGGAGCAUGUGGUUUAAUUCGAUGCAACGCGAAGAACCUUACCUACUCUUGACAUCCAGAGAACUUAGCAGAGAUGCUUUGGUGCCUUCGGGAACUCUGAGACAGGUGCUGCAUGGCUGUCGUCAGCUCGUGUUGUGAAAUGUUGGGUUAAGUCCCGCAACGAGCGCAACCCUUAUCCUUUGUUGCCAGCGGUUAGGCCGGGAGCUCAAAGGAGACUGCCAGUGAUAAACUGGAGGAAGGUGGGGAUGACGUCAAGUCAUCAUGGCCCUUACGAGUAGGGCUACACACGUGCUACAAUGGCGCAUACAAAGAGAAGCGACCUCGCGAGAGCAAGCGGACCUCAUAAAGUGCGUCGUAGUCCGGAUUGGAGUCUGCAACUCGACUCCAUGAAGUCGGAAUCGCUAGUAAUCGUGGAUCAGAAUGCCACGGUGAAUACGUUCCCGGGCCUUGUACACACCGCCCGUCACACCAUGGGAGUGGGUUGCAAAAGAGGUAGGUAGCUUAACCUUCGGGAGGGCGCUUACCACUUUGUGAUUCAUGACUGGGGUGAAGUCGUAACAAGGUAACC